UUAAGUGACUAAGCGUACACGGUGGAUGCCUGGGCAGUCAGAGGCGAUGAAGGACGUACUAACUUGCGAUAAGCGCAGAUAAGGCAGUAAGAGCCGUUUGAGUCUGCGAUUUCCGAAUGGGGAAACCCAACUGCAUAAGCAGUUACUGUUAACUGAAUACAUAGGUUAACAGAGCAAACCGGGGGAACUGAAACAUCUAAGUACCCCGAGGAGAAGAAAUCAACCGAGAUUCCGGUAGUAGCGGCGAGCGAACCUGGAUUAGCCCUUAAGCACUCGGUGAAGUAGGUGAACAAGCUGGAAAGCUUGGCGAUACAGGGUGAUAGCCCCGUAACCGACGCUUCAUCGAGCGUGAAAUCGAGUAGGGCGGGACACGUGAUAUCCUGUCUGAAUAUGGGGGGACCAUCCUCCAAGGCUAAAUACUCCUGACUGACCGAUAGUGAACCAGUACCGUGAGGGAAAGGCGAAAAGAACCCCUGUGAGGGGAGUGAAAUAGAACCUGAAACCGUGUACGUACAAGCAGUAGGAGCACCUUCGUGGUGUGACUGCGUACCUUUUGUAUAAUGGGUCAGCGACUUAUAUUCAGUGGCAAGGUUAACCGUAUAGGGGAGCCGUAGCGAAAGCGAGUCUUAACUGGGCGCUCAGUCUCUGGAUAUAGACCCGAAACCGGGUGAUCUAGCCAUGGGCAGGUUGAAGGUUGAGUAACAUCAACUGGAGGACCGAACCGACUAAUGUUGAAAAAUUAGCGGAUGACUUGUGGCUAGGGGUGAAAGGCCAAUCAAACUCGGAGAUAGCUGGUUCUCCCCGAAAGCUAUUUAGGUAGCGCCUCGGACGAAUACUACUGGGGGUAGAGCACUGUUAAGGCUAGGGGGUCAUCCCGACUUACCAACCCUUUGCAAACUCCGAAUACCAGUAAGUACUAUCCGGGAGACACACGGCGGGUGCUAACGUCCGUCGUGGAGAGGGAAACAACCCAGACCGCCAGCUAAGGUCCCAAAGUAUUGCUAAGUGGGAAACGAUGUGGGAAGGCUCAGACAGCUAGGAUGUUGGCUUAGAAGCAGCCAUCAUUUAAAGAAAGCGUAAUAGCUCACUAGUCGAGUCGGCCUGCGCGGAAGAUGUAACGGGGCUAAGCAAUACACCGAAGCUGCGGCAAUGUCUUUUAGACAUUGGGUAGGGGAGCGUUCUGUAAGCCGUUGAAGGUGAAUCGUAAGGUUUGCUGGAGGUAUCAGAAGUGCGAAUGCUGACAUGAGUAACGACAAAGGGGGUGAAAAACCUCCUCGCCGGAAGACCAAGGGUUCCUGUCCAACGUUAAUCGGGGCAGGGUGAGUCGACCCCUAAGGUGAGGCCGAAAGGCGUAAUCGAUGGGAAACGGGUUAAUAUUCCCGUACUUCUGACUAUUGCGAUGGGGGGACGGAGAAGGCUAGGUGGGCCAGGCGACGGUUGUCCUGGUUCAAGUGCGUAGGCUUGAGAGUUAGGUAAAUCCGGCUCUCUCUAAGGCUGAGACACGACGUCGAGCUACUACGGUAGUGAAGUCAUUGAUGCCAUGCUUCCAGGAAAAGCCUCUAAGCUUCAGAUAGUCAGGAAUCGUACCCCAAACCGACACAGGUGGUCGGGUAGAGAAUACCAAGGCGCUUGAGAGAACUCGGGUGAAGGAACUAGGCAAAAUGGUACCGUAACUUCGGGAGAAGGUACGCUCUUGAUGGUGAAGUCCCUCGCGGAUGGAGCUGACGAGAGUCGCAGAUACCAGGUGGCUGCAACUGUUUAUUAAAAACACAGCACUGUGCAAAAUCGCAAGAUGACGUAUACGGUGUGACGCCUGCCCGGUGCCGGAAGGUUAAUUGAUGGGGUUAGCGCAAGCGAAGCUCUUGAUCGAAGCCCCGGUAAACGGCGGCCGUAACUAUAACGGUCCUAAGGUAGCGAAAUUCCUUGUCGGGUAAGUUCCGACCUGCACG
rnacentral:rRNA from 1 species